rnacentral:rRNA from 1 species
ACUAUAUCUAGCCCAUACUCCUCCUCAUCACAACUACUAUAAGUCUGUCAAAUAAAACAUUCACCAUACAUCUAAAGUAUAGGAGAUAGAAAUUUAAUUAUCAAUGGCGCUAUAGAGAAAGUACCGUAAGGGAAAGAUGAAAGAAUUAUUAAAAGUAGAAAAAAGCAAAGUUUACCCCUUGUACCUUUUGCAUAAUGAUUUAACUAGUAAUAAUUUAGCAAAGAGACCUUAAGUUAAAUUACCCGAAACCAGACGAGCUACUUAUGAGCAGUAACUAGAACAAACUCAUCUAUGUGGCAAAAUAGUGAGAAGACUUGUAAGUAGAGGUGAAAAGCCUAACGAGCCUGGUGAUAGCUGGUUGUCCAAGAAAGGAAUUUCAGUUCAACAUUAAACAAUACUAAAAACCAUACUAAGUUCCAACGUAUGUUUAACUGUUAGUCUAAAAAGGUACAGCUUUUUAGAAAUGGAUACAACCUUUACUAGAGAGUAACAUAAAACUUAAACCAUAGUUGGCCUAAAAGCAGCCAUCAAUUAAGAAAGCGUUCAAGCUCAACAACAAAAAUAAGUUUUAAUUUCAAUAAUAGACAAAAAACUCCUAGCCUGACUAUUGGACUAAUCUAUUUAACUAUAGAAGAAAUACUGUUAAUAUGAGUAACAAGAAAANUUUUCUCCUUGCACAAGCUUAUAUCAGUAACUGAUAAUAUACUGAUAGUUAACAACUAAUAAANNNANCCUAANNNNNNNNNNNNNNNNNNNNNNNNNNNNNNNNNNNNNNNNNNNNGCACCAAGGAAAGAUUAAAAAGAGUAAAAGGAACUCGGCAAACGCAAACCCCGCCUGUUUACCAAAAACAUCACCUCUAGCAUAACUAGUAUUAGAGGCACUGCCUGCCCAGUGACAAUCGUUAAACGGCCGCGGUAUCUUGACCGUGCAAAGGUAGCAUAAUCACUUGUUCUCUAAAUAAGGACUUGUAUGAAUGGCCACACGAGGGUUUUACUGUCUCUUACUCUUAAUCAGUGAAAUUGACCUCCCCGUGAAGAGGCGGGGAUAAUACAAUAAGACGAGAAGACCCUAUGGAGCUUUAAUUAAUCAACUCAAAAAGCAUAAAAUAAUACCACCAAGGGAUAACAAAGCUUUACAUGAGCUGACAAUUUCGGUUGGGGUGACCUCGGAGUAUAAAAAACCCUCCGAGUGAUUAAAACUUAGGCCUACCAGCCAAAGUAUAGUAUCACUUAUUGAUCCAAAAUUUUGAUCAACGGAACAAGUUACCCUAGGGAUAACAGCGCAAUCCUAUUCUAGAGUCCAUAUCGACAAUAGGGUUUACGACCUCGAUGUUGGAUCAGGACAUCCUAAUGGUGCAGCAGCUAUUAAGGGUUCGUUUGUUCAACGAUUAAAGUCCUACGUGAUCUGAGUUCAGACCGGAGUAAUCCAGGUCGGUUUCUAUCUAUUACGCAUUUCUCCCAGUACGAAAGGACAAGAGAAAUAAGGCCAACUUUAAAAAAGCGCCUUCAAACAAUUAGUGACCCAGUCUCAACCUAAUAACCUAGCGCAAACAUACCCUGCCCAAGAUCAGGGCUUU